GCCCAGAUGAAUCGCUAGACGCUUCAGUUGCUUUCGUCACCUGAAAACAAAACGAAAGAGAGAGUGGGACGAGAUGGUGCUCCGACGAGGCCAUGGGAAGAGAUGACGAUGAUGGCCGUGGGAAGAGAUGACGAUGAUGGCCGUGGGAAGAGAUGGAGCUCCGACUAUGGCCGUUGGAAGAGAUGGAGCUCCGAUGAUGGCUGUGGGAAGAUGGAGCUCCGACGAUGGCCGUUUGAUGUCCGACAGGCGACAAUGCUUCUGGUGACCACAUCGUGUUCAAUCUGCAGCAGAGGAGCUUCUCUUCCUUUUCGUUCCACCAAAAGUGAUCAGAGCAAGUGUCCCUAAGCUUCUCCUUGAUUAUGUCUUCUCUGCUUCAUCAAGCCACCACCGGAGCUUUUCUGCUUCAUCAAGCCACCACCGGAGCUUCUCGUCUUCUCUGCUUCAUCAAGCCACCACCGGAGCUUCUCUGCUUCAUCAAGCCUCCACCGGAGCUUCUCUGAUGCAACGGAUCCAAGUCCAGAACCUCCUGAAGCAAAAAUAAACUGAGAGGAAAUCUGUUGAGAGGCUUGCCAUCUUCAUCAGCUUUUUCUUCGCUAUCAGGAACAUGGCUGAGAAAGUACCGUCAUUUAAAACCGGGGGAACUCUUUGGUUUACUGAUCUCACCACUGCAGAUACUACAUAUAUCUUGUCACUUCUCACCGCCAUCACUUUCAUAUGGUGGAGUCGAACUUGCAGGAAGGUAUGGAAGGGAAUCGAUCCAGUAGCUGGAACUAUGAAGAAAUUCUCAAGAAUCAUUGCCUUUCUCUCUAUUCCAAUUCUGAUGGGCAUUGAAAAGGCAAGUCCCCUCCCCUCUCUCUUUCCCACAGAGUCUUGAGACGUGAGAUAAAAGAGUUUUGAUGUGACAUAUUGUGUGUGUAUAUAAUAAUGUGAGGAAGCUCUUGAAUCUCCCGGAUGCUGUCACCUCUUCUUCUACCGGGCAGCCAAAGCCGCCUUCGCCUAUUCCGUUUUCCUUUGAGCAGCCAAAAGACCAAAGUGUUAUUGGUCAUGAAGAUCCUCCUAUGGUGAACAAGGAGGCUUCAGGACCACAAGCUUCACGUGUGGAGAAUGUUUAUGCUUGUUUGUCGUUUGAGAAUUUUUUCCUUGGCGUUUUAAAGUUUAAGUAUAUUUUUUCUAAAUUUUUAUUAAAAAUGUUAACAAAUUAUGAAUACCCUACCACUCACGUAUCUUAGGAGUUAGGUCACAGAUCACAAGUUCUGAAUAAAUAUAGGAGCUGUCUAUUCCCAAAAAAUGUGCAAGCUCUGAUAUGCAUCCUAUUGGAUCAAGGGAUACGAAUUUUAUGCACAUGAUGAAGGUGAUGGUGAAAAGGAGAAAUUACCAUCAUUUGAGUCCAUCGUUAAUGGGGAAGAUGAAGAUGAUCAAAGUUUGAUUUGGUGUUUUGCUUUAUAUUGAUUUGGUGUUUUGCUUUAUUACAAUGUGAGAUUUCUUACUUAAGUUGAUUGAUUUUGUUUUUAGUACUAUGAAUUGUUUUAUUACAAUGCGAGAUUUCUUGUGUUUUGCUU